CCUACGGGCGGCAGCAGUGAGGAAUAUUGGUCAAUGGACGAGAGUCUGAACCAGCCAAGUAGCGUGAAGGAUGACUGCCCUAUGGGUUGUAAACUUCUUUUAUCAAGGAAUAAAUCGAUGCACGUGUGCCUUUUUGCAUGUACUUUAUGAAUAAGGCUCGGCUAACUCCGUGCCAGCAGCCGCGGUAAUACGGAGGAUCCGAGCGUUAUCCGGAUUUAUUGGGUUUAAAGGGAGCGUAGAUGGGUUGUUAAGUCAGUUGUGAAAGUUUGGGGCUCAACCGUAAAAUUGCAAUUGAUACUGGUAGUCUUGAGUACAGUUGAGGUAGGCGGAAUUCGUGGUGUAGCGGUGAAAUGCUUAGAUAUCACGAAGAACCCCGAUUGCGAAGGCAGCUUACUAAACUGUGACUGACACUGAUGCUCGAAAGUGUGGGUAUCAAACAGGAUUAGAUACCCCGGUAGUC
rnacentral:rRNA from 1 species